rnacentral:lncRNA from 1 species
UUUUUUUUUUUUUUUUGGCCACAUCUGGGGCAUACGGAAGUUCCUGGCCAGGGAUCGAAUCCAAGCUGCAUCUGCUGCCUGUUCCAUAGUUGCAGCAAUGCUGGAUCCUUAACCCACCACACCACAGUGGGAACGUCUAAUGCCUUUUUAAAGAGGUUUACUAUGAGUGAUUUCCAAUGCUUGUUCUCUGAGAUCAUAACCUGGGGUGUAAUUAAUAAAUAUGUGUUCACCUUUGCCCCUUGAUUUUGUUAGGUGGCCUGUAUGAGAUAGAAAAACGUCAUUACUUGAGGUCCUUUUAAGAGAUAGUGUCAUCCUGAAGAGUAUUUCAUUCAAAAAGGACAGAGAAAAAAUAUAAGGCAACUCUCUUUUCUGAAGAAUGAUAUUUUGGGGAAAAAUCUGCUUUCUACUCUGGCAUAAAUGAUAUAUAUUUCCAUUUAAGAACAUCUGUACCUAAACCCCACUUCAGCUUCUCAGGAAGUCAGACUGGCCCAACUAUUUUUUUCACAAGAUGCUAUAAGGUGGAGUGUAGCAGGCCUACACUUUGUGGUUAUUUUGUGCUAAAAGAAUACAUCACAGGGAAGUCUGAGACCGCUUUUUAGAAUUGGGUGACUUGGUUAUUAUUCAACAUUUGCCUAUAGUUAUAAAGCGCAUUUUAAUGGGAAGCAGGUACGGUUGUUCUAAAGCAAUUCAUAAAAUGCCUAGGGAGUUCCUCUUGUGGCUCAGCUGGUUAUGAACCCAACUAGUAUCCAUGAGGAGUCAGGUUCAAUCCCUGGCCUUCCUCAGUGGGUUAAGGAUCUGGCGUUGUCACGAGCUAUGGUGUAGGUCAUAGAUGCGGCUUGGAUCCUGCUUUGCUGUGGCUGUGGUGUAGGCUGGCAGCUGCAGCUCCGAUUCCACCCCUCACCUGGGAACUUCCAUAUAUCAUGGGCAUGGCCCUAAAAAGCUAAAAAUAAAAUUGCCUAAAUGCUCUGUGGCUGCAGAAUUACUCGAAGUCCCAUGAUCCUUAUGUGCCCUAAGAAUAGUAAUCUUUUGUCAUUUUGCAUUUUCCCAAUGAAUAGAAAUGGAAACUGCUCUGAAAGUAGGGAGCAGAGUUCUAAGCGAUUUUGGCUGGUUUGUAGCUGCAUUUCAUCCAUCAGCAAGUGGCUAAAAGGGGUCCAGAGAAUGGCAAAUUGGGGUGACAGGAUAUGGGGACUCAAGAAAAAAGGCAUAGGCAGAGGGGCAGAGGGGCCCUGCCCAGAAGAGCUACUGGAAGACGAAUUUGAAGGCAGAAGGGAGAAGCCUAGCUGUGCAGGGCUAUCUGCUGGCACCUCAUGAAGCACUUGUUUUUUUCACCAUGAGCAACAGUUUUAUCUUAGUUGCAGGUGUUUCCUUUAGAGCUAAGUUUAGCAAAUGAAAGAGCAUGUCAAACUAACCAGUUCAUCAGAACUAAGGAGUAAGAAAUAUGAUUAUUGCCAUUUUUGCUGCUAAUUUUAAAAGGACCUUUAUUAUGAAGGAAAAAAAAAAAGAAAGAAAGAAAGAAAGAAAUGCAAUCCAUGCAAAGAAAGCAAAAGCACAAGUCAGCUGGUUUCUUUUUCCUCACCCCUACUACCAAGAGCUGUAAUCUGGGGGAGACGUCAGAUAAUUCAAAGCUAUGAUAGCAAAUUAGGUUUCCAGAAAAGACAUAAUUUUUUAGAAAGCCACAGUAAAGACUUUUUUUUUUUCUUUUUAGGGCCGUGCCUGCGGCAUAUGUAAGUUCCCAGGCUAGGGGUCAAAUCGGAGCUGUAGCCACCAGCCUACACCACAGCCACAGCAACGUGGGAUCUAGGCAGCAUCUACUACCACCUACACCACAGCUCAGGGCAACGCCAGAUCCUUAACCCAUUGGGUGAGGCCAGGGAUCAAACCGGCAUCCUCAUGGUUAGUGCUGAGCCACAACGGAAACGUCCAAGAUGGUUUUAAUAAUGUUUCAGACAGGAGUUUCCAUCGUAGUGCAGUGGAAAUGAAUCUGACUAGUAUCCAUGAGGCUGCGGGUUUGAUCCCUGGCCUUGUUCAGUGGGUUAAGCAUCCAGCAUUGCCAUGAGCUGUGGUGUAGGUUGCAGAUGUGGCUCAGAUCUGGCAUUGCUGUGGCUGCAGUGUUGACCGGCAGCUAUAGCUCCAGUUGGACCCCUAACCUGGAAACUUCCAUAUGCACUGGUGCAGCCCUAAAAAGAAAGAAAAAAAAAAAAGUUGGAAACAACUAUUAAGCACUGUAUUUAGAAAAUGCUUCUUUGCUUAUUAAUGGGGAAAACCUUUUUUUUUUUGUUUUGGUAAUCAAAGUAUAGUUGAUUUACAAUGUCAUGUUAGCUAUUUCUGGUACACAGCAAAGUGAUUCCAUUAUACACAUAUAUAUAUUCUUUCUUUUCAUAUUCUUUCCCAUUAUGGUUCAUCACAGGAUAUUGACUGUAGUUCUCUGUGCUAUACAGUAGGACUUUGUUGUUUAUCCAUCCUUUUUAUAAUAGCAUUUGCCAGUCACCAAUCCCAAUCCAACCCUCCCCCGCUCCUGUUGGCAACCACAAGUCUGUUCUCUAUAUCUGUGAGUCUGUUUCUGUAUUGUAGAUAAAUUCAUUUGUAUCAUAUUUUAGAUUCCACAAUGGGGAGAACCUUUUAAAAUGAGGUACGAGUUAUCUGGUGGAAGAAAUACACUACGCUAGUAUGAGAAGCACUCCACUGGGUUUCACAUAUAUUCACUUGAUAGUUCUCCAUAGUAUUUUCUUCUGGAAUAUAGUAUUAGAAAAGUUUUCAAAUAGAAUGAGCAGGAAGAACUGCCUUGAUCAUAGCAGAAACUGAGAAGGCAAAAAUGAAGAGGCAGUUUCUUGCCUGGAUCUGUCACCUGGCCACCAGAUGGGAGACAAGGCAAAGCUAUUAGACCUGCAAAGCAAUAAGGUGAGGUGUGAAAAAAACAAAGAACUCCUUUCCGGCUGACAUUUUUGUCUAGACAACCAGUUUACACUUGUGCCCCUGAUAAUGACCAACAUCUCUUAACCUGAAUACCAGCCAGCUACAUCCUCAGGGGAAAAUGAGUAUCAUUUUUCUUAUUAACCAUUUCAAAGGGGGAAAUCCUGGGGGGAAAAGCAAUAGGAAAAACUACUGGAGGUUCUUUUUUCUUUCUGGCCUUGCCUGCAGCACAUGGAAGUUCCCAGGCCUGGGAUUGAACCCAUGCUAUAGCAAUGACCAGAACCAUGGCAGUAACAAUGCUAGAUCCUUAGCCCACUAAGCCACUAGGGAAGUCCCUUUUUUUUUUCUUUUAGUGAAAAAUCAAAACUCAGGAAAUAGUCGAAGCAAUUAAUAGAAUGCUUACAAUGAAGUCUAUGUAUGGCUUUCUGAGGUGUUUUUCAGUUUGAAUUGUACUUUAGGAAGACAUUGCUAUAAAAUUGGUCAAUUCAAGCGUUAAAAAAAUAUCAACUGACUUAAUUUUAAAGAUCUUAAUUGGUUUUAUUGAAUUAUUCAUGAAGCUGUCAGCAUCCCAUCUGGCAAAGAGAACGGAGAUCCAAGGAGCUGUACAAAAUGGAAAGCUUUAUAGGCAGAAGGGGGGAAAGAGAAAAAAAAAGGUUUGUUUUACCUACCUAUUGCAAUGGCAGGGUGCUCUGUAGAAGAUUACCUCAUGGGUGCUGACCUGAAAAUUCCAGACUGACCAGUUAAGAUUAUAUUCCUGGCAGUUACGGUCGUGGCUCAGCGGAAAUGAAUCUGACUAGCAUCCAUGAGGACGCAGGUUCGAUCCCUGGCCUCGCUCAUGGGUUAAGGAUCCGGCGUUGCUGUGAGCUGUGGUGUGGGUCACAGACGUGGUUCAGAUCUCACCUCGCUGUGGCUGUGGCGUAGGCCAGUGGCUACAGCUCUGAUUAGACCCCUAGCCUGGGAACCUCCAUAUGCCGUGGGUACAGCCCUAAAAAGAUAUUAAAAAAAAAAAAAAGAAAAA